UCAGAUGGCUGGAUGGCUGCUGCUUUUUUUUCGUAAAAGAGGAGAGGAAAGUCCGGGCUCCACAGGAUCAGGAUGCCGGGUAACGCCCGGCGGGGGUAACCCCAGGGAAAGUGCCGCAGAAAACAAACCGCCCUCCAAGGUGAUACCUUAUGGGGUAAGGGUGAAAAGGUGCGGUAAGAGCGCACCGCCGGUCUGGUAACAGAACGGGCAUGGUAAACCCCAUCCGGAGCAAGACCAUAUAGGGACAAACGCCAUGCAAAUGGCAGAUGCGAUCCUGCAUCUUGUCCGGGUAGGUUGCUAAAGAUGUCUGGUAACAGGCAUCGUAGAUGAAUAGUCGUCACCGCCAGCGCAAGCAAACGGUACAGAACCCGGCUUAUAGGCCAUCUGACAGA
rnacentral:RNase_P_RNA from 2 species